rnacentral:lncRNA from 1 species
CAAUAGUAUCACCAGAGGUUAUGUCCUUGUUUAUUUGUUUGUUUCUUUUUUUAAAUUCUCUGUUCUUGUGCUCUAUCCCAGAAUGGCCAAACCAGGUGGUCAAGGAUAGAGAUUUGUAAAGAAGAGAAAGAGUAAACAUAAUUUAUUUUUAUCUUUAUCAGUGACCAAUGGACACUCAGAAUGGAUUAGAAUUUAUCUAGUUGAUUGGCUCAGCACUUUUAUGUCAGUAGGACACAUUCUUAAUUAUGAGGGAGAACUAUAAAAGCUUUACCUUGACUGUAAAUUCACAAUUGUCUCAAUGAAAGGAGAAGGCAUCAAUGGAUCCAGUUGUGGUCCUGCUUCUGAGUCUCUUCUGUUUGCUUCUGCUUUCACUAGGGAGACAGAAGUCUGGGAGAGGGAAGCUCCCACCUGGCCCUACUCCUCUCCCAAUUCUUGGGAAUAUUCUUCAAAUAGAUGCUAAGAACAUCAAGAAGUCUUUAAACAAUGUAAGUAUGCCCAUGCUCUUCCAGUGGCU